rnacentral:lncRNA from 1 species
GGAUAGCAGCUUCUUUCUCAUCUUGCGGAAACACGCGAUGAAAGGCUAAAUUCUUACUCAAAGUGAAUAAGAAGUCCUCGAAACCACUCUUCUUUUGUACUGCAUGAAGAUUUUGAGACGACUCAGCAGAAGUAUUGAGUUUGCACCUCUUCUUGAACUGACCAUUGUUCUUUAACUUGUCUUUGUUUUGCACCUUGACCUUCAGUGGUGCUGUAGUGUCAUAUGUUGGAGGGGAUGUGCCGUUUGCGGCUGCCGCAGCUGCAGCCAUGGCCCUUCUUGCCUUCCUUUGCCUGAUCCCACAUGCGUUGCAAAGCGACUGAAACAGUGGAUGAAACUCAGAUUAAUUAGAGGAGUGGAAGCAAAAAUUGAGACCAAAACCCGCCAGGAGCAAAAGACUCCUAACCGCUGGUGUGUGUUUGGUUCUCAUAUUAUCGUCUGAUUAUCAUGUAACUAAACGAGAUCAUUCGAAGUUUAAUGAACAAAGAUCAUACCUUAGGGCCUUUUGGACCACUUCUCCAAAGUGGGGUCUUGGUUGUGUUACAAUCAGCGCAAACCCUAAUUGGAGUGUUGCUGAUGUUUGAGGAACUGUUGCUGCUGAAAUGAUCAGCUUCAGGAGAAGCUGAAGUUGGCUGCUUCUGAUGAUCCUCAAAUUUCAUGGUGGUGGUGGUGCUGCUCGUUAUCUCCUUCAGGUCAGGCUUGUUCAUCUUCUGCAUCAACUUCACCUUUGAAGACACCCACUUAUUAUUAACUGGAUUGAUCUCCUCAUGAUCAUCAGCUUGGUUUCCAUUAGUAUUAUUCUUCCACAGAGAUAUCUUUGAGCCUUUGUUAGCCUUCUUCUCUGGAUCCUGUGAUCCAGUGUAUGGAGCAUGAUUUUCAACCUGAGAGAUGAAAGCAAAUUAUUUUUGUUUCCGGUCAGAAAACAUAAAAGCAAAAUAACUAGAGAGUGAAAUAAGAAGAGUAAAGAAGCGAUCGUUGCGAUCACUGAAGCACGGAUUUCUUGUACUGCAUGGAUAUACCUGUUGUUGGUACCGCUGCUGGUGCAUUUGAGCAUGAUAAUCUUCAGUUUGAUCCAGAGCUAUACUGCGGAAACCAGAAGAAGAAACGGAAGAUGACGAGGCCGUUUGGUAAUUUGGAAAGAAGAACUGAGGACGAUCGUGUUCAUCAUGAUCUUGAAUGGGAUCGCGAACAGAAAAAGGAGACGGUGAUGCUGAGGUAAGGUAGUUUGGAAUCAUGGGGAAGAGACAAGGACAAAGAAUUUCGAGUUUUCUGGUUUCUGCUUC